rnacentral:rRNA from 1 species
CGGACGGGUGAGUAACACGUGGAUAACCUACCUAUAAGACUGGGAUAACUUCUGGAAACCGGAGCUAAUACCGGAUAAUAUAUUGAACCGCAUGGUUCAAUAGUGAAAGACGGUUUUGCUGUCACUUAUAGAUGGAUCCGCGUCGCAUUAGCUAGUUGGUAAGGUAACGGCUUACCAAGGCAACGAUGCGUAGCCGACCUGAGAGGGUGAUCGGCCACACUGGAACUGAGACACGGUCCAG